rnacentral:rRNA from 1 species
UACGUAGGUGACAAGCGUUGUCCGGAUUUACUGGGCGUAAAGAGCGCGCAGGCGGUCGAUCAAGUCGAGUGUGAAAUCCCCCGGCUCAACCGGGGAACGGGCACGGAUACGACCUUCCUGGAGGGGCGUAGGGGGACCUGGAACUUCCGGUGGAGCGGUGAAAUGCGUUGAGAUCGGAAGGAACGCCCGUGGCGAAAGCGAGGUCCUGGACGCCUACUGACGCUGAGACGCGAAAGCCAGGGGAGCGAACGGG